GACGAACGCUGGCGGCGUGCUUAACACAUGCAAGUCGAACGGAAAGGCCCUGCUUUUGUGGGGUGCUCGAGUGGCGAACGGGUGAGUAACACGUGAGUAACCUGCCCUUGACUUUGGGAUAACUUCAGGAAACUGGGGCUAAUACCGGAUAGGAGCUCCUGCUGCAUGGUGGGGGUUGGAAAGUUUCGUCGGUUGGGGAUGGACUCGCGGCUUAUCAGCUUGUUGGUGGGGUAGUGGCUUACCAAGGCUUUGACGGGUAGCCGGCCUGAGAGGGUGACCGGCCACAUUGGGACUGAGAUACGGCCCAGACUCCUACGGGAGGCAGCAGUGGGGAAUAUUGCGCAAUGGGCGGAAGCCUGAUGCAGCAACGCCGCGUGCGGGAUGACGGCCUUCGGGUUGUAAACCGCGUUCGCCUGUGACGAAGCGUGAGUGACGGUAAUGGGUAAAGAAGCACCGGCUAACUACGUG
rnacentral:rRNA from 1 species